UGGGUUUUAAGUUAUACAAACUAAUAACCUUCCAAGUUAAAAAAAACAAAGUUAAACUCAA
rnacentral:tRNA from 1 species